GACUAGAGGGGGUGAAUAAUCAACUACAAUUUUCCACCUUGUAACUUCCAAUUAGGCACAAAGAAAUAAAGAGGUAUCUAAAAAAACCAGGUGAAACAAUCAUAUAUGAUGCUACACAAACAAGCAAGGAUACAAACAACAUAACUAGCCAAAAAAAAAAGGAUACAAACAAGAUAAGAACACAAAGUAUAAUAAGCUCAGGUAUAAAAACAACCGAAGAACUCAAGGAGAUGC
rnacentral:lncRNA from 1 species